GGUUUCAUGGUGUAGUUGGUUAUCACGCGACCUUAACAAUGUUCUUCUUCUUGAACAGAGUUCGGUCGAGGUCUUGAGUUCGAUCCUCAAUGAAAUCA